rnacentral:rRNA from 1 species
CUAACACAUGCAGUCGAGCGGAACGAGUUAUCUGAACCUUCGGGGGACGAUAACGGCGUCGAGCGGCGGACGGGUGAGUAAUGCCUAGGAAAUUGCCCUGAUGUGGGGGAUAACCAUUGGAAACGAUGGCUAAUACCGCAUAAUACCUUCGGGUCAAAGAGGGGGACCUUCGGGCCUCUCGCGUCAGGAUAUGCCUAGGUGGGAUUAGCUAGUUGGUGAGGUAAUGGCUCACCAAGGCGACGAUCCCUAGCUGGUCUGAGAGGAUGAUCAGCCACACUGGAACUGAGACACGGUCCAGACUCCUACGGGAGGCAGCAGUGGGGAAUAUUGCACAAUGGGCGCAAGCCUGAUGCAGCCAUGCCGCGUGUGUGAAGAAGGCCUUCGGGUUGUAAAGCACUUUCAGUCGUGAGGAAGGUAGUGUAGUUAAUAGCUGCAUUAUUUGACGUUAGCGACAGAAGAAGCACCGGCUAACUCCGUGCCAGCAGCCGCGGUAAUACGGAGGGUGCGAGCGUUAAUCGGAAUUACUGGGCGUAAAGCGCAUGCAGGUGGUUUGUUAAGUCAGAUGUGAAAGCCCGGGGCUCAACCUCGGAAUAGCAUUUGAAACUGGCAGACUAGAGUACUGUAGAGGGGGGUAGAAUUUCAGGUGUAGCGGUGAAAUGCGUAGAGAUCUGAAGGAAUACCGGUGGCGAAGGCGGCCCCCUGGACAGAUACUGACACUCAGAUGCGAAAGCGUGGGGAGCAAACAGGAUUAGAUACCCUGGUAGUCCACGCCGUAAACGAUGUCUACUUGGAGGUUGUGGCCUUGAGCCGUGGCUUUCGGAGCUAACGCGUUAAGUAGACCGCCUGGGGAGUACGGUCGCAAGAUUAAAACUCAAAUGAAUUGACGGGGGCCCGCACAAGCGGUGGAGCAUGUGGUUUAAUUCGAUGCAACGCGAAGAACCUUACCUACUCUUGACAUCCAGAGAACAUUUCCAGAGAUGGAUUGGUGCCUUCGGGAACUCUGAGACAGGUGCUGCAUGGCUGUCGUCAGCUCGUGUUGUGAAAUGUUGGAUAAGUCCCGCACGAGCGCAACCUUAUCCUGCUUGCAGCACUUCGGUGGGACCUCAGGUA